rnacentral:rRNA from 1 species
UACGUAGGAUGCAAGCGUUGUCCGGAAUUAUUGGGCGUAAAGAGCGAGCAGGCGGUUUGGCAAGUUGGAUGUGAAAUUUUAGGGCUUAACCCUAAAGGGUCGUCCAAAACUCCCAGACUAGAGUGCAGGAGAGGAAAGCGGAAUUCCCGGUGUAGUGGUGAAAUGCGUAGAUAUCGGGAGGAACACCAGAGGCGAAGGCGGCUUUCUGGCCUGUAACUGACGCUGAGGCGCGAAGGCUGGGGUAGCGAACAGG